UACGAAGGGGGGCUAGCGUUGCUCGGAAUUACUGGGCGUAAAGCGCACGUAGGCGGCUUUUUAAGUCGGAGGUGAAAUCCUGGAGCUCAACUCCAGAACUGCCUUCGAUACUGAAGAGCUCGAGUCCGGGAGAGGUGAGUGGAACUGCGAGUGUAGAGGUGAAAUUCGUAGAUAUUCGCAAGAACACCAGUGGCGAAGGCGGCUCACUGGCCCGGUACUGACGCUGAGGUGCGAAAGCGUGGGGAGCAAACAGG
rnacentral:rRNA from 1 species